UAUAACCAUUUGUAUGUAUAAAGGAGGGUAUAUAUAUAUAUUUAUGUAUAGAUAUAUAGAUAUAGGGACUUCAGAUGAUGUACUGAGUGGAGCUGGAGUGGGAAGAGAAAUUCUUAGUGGAUCUAAACUGUUUAGUUUAUUACCACACUAGUAAGUGUUUUGCAGAGUAUCCAUGAAAUUGGACACGGAGCAGAGGAAAAAAGUCGUUGACUGUUUCCAUUCCUGACCUGAUCAGGAUGCUAAGGAACCGUGAUUCGCUCCAGAGUACCUUCUAUGUCUGCCCUCUGUUCAUGUGAUUUGUCUGCUCUUCAUUCAGUGAUAUGUAACGCAGAAAGUUUUUCCUCCAACCAUGGAAGACCUUCAGGAAAAAUAUAAAGUCUUGGUUCCUGUACUGAUAGAAUACUGAUCUACAUAUUCCAAUAAUCUUCCUGGAAAAAAUAAGGAAAAGCAAAAAAACAGCAUUGCAGAAAAUAUAGAGGACUCUUCAUACCUGAACUCUUUGAAAGGCAAGAAAAUCAGUCUCAUAUAUUCAUUUUAAAGACAUGAAGAAGAAAGUGCAAAUACAUGAAGGAGGACUUAACGACAAGCAAACGAUACAUGGACAUGCUCUGUGGAAAGCAGGACAUCCAAAUGAAGAUCUUCAGCAAUUAUUUCACUUGACUGAAGAGUCUCCUGAACAUUCGCUUUCCAGCAGUAACUGAGUGAAAUCAGUAGAAAUUCUGAGUGUGAGCAGCUGCUGCAGAAGGCAGUGGGAAUUAUGGAGAUUCAGCAUCCAUCGCCACUCAGAAAUAUGGUGGACAGAAUGGCUGCAAAGUCCCUAGCUAUGCCAGUUGUCUUCACUGAGAAUGAUGAAAGAAGUCCCCAAAAUAAGCCACAAGACCAGAAGAGAAAAGAUUCUGGAAGGAAGAGCAAAGCCCUAGACCAUGAUAGAAGAGUCAUCUGGCUGCAAGGAAGUGCUGGUGCCUGAUCUUCCACACAACCAAAACACAGGAGACAUGAAGGACCUGUGUUAAACACAGGCUUUUUAACUUUUCACCAGACAGAAAUGCAAAAAAUCAUCAUCUACAUGCAAACCUGAAUCCCUUCAGUGGAUUUAUGAACUGUUGUGUUAUACAGCAGUAAUAAAGCAGAACCUGGGCAUUAAAUAAAUAAAUGAAAAUUGGACAGUAUAAGCCUGAGGAUACAAUGUUCCAGUACUGAAGAAGCCAAGAAAAACUCUUAUUGACUUCAACGAGCUCUAGAUCUGACCUUUCGCCUAUGCUAUGCAAUACUUUUGCAUGUGAUUACUGGAUACAGAGGGUACUAGCCUACAAAUACUCACCAUCCUAGAAGAAAGUCUGGAUCCUGAGCAUUUUUCUAAAAAACAAUGCUAAAUCGGGGGAUCAGCUGACACAACAAAUAGCAAUCCAGAGGCACCUUCAGAAACUUGGGGAUUGGAUGGCCAGAAGUCUUCUUCAGCAAGUGUAAGGACCAAGAUUUGUAGCUAAGACUGAACAAUCCCACACACUGGGAAAGACUGGGAGCUGACUGGCUGAGGACCAGCCCUGCUGAAAACACCCAGGGGAUUACAGUGGAGGCCAAUUAAAACAUGAGCCAGCGGCAUGUUCUCAAUGCAAAUAAAUCAAGCAGCAUUAUGGCUAUAUUAGGAGUGUGGCCAGCAGAUCAAGUCUCUGCUUGAUGCUUGGUGAGAACUUGCACAUCCCCAAAUUCUUAACCUGGCUCUGGAUGUCCCAGGUUGACACUGAGAAACUGGAGAAAGUGUAGGACAGGGCUCCAAAGAUGAGCCUGUCCCCAGAGCAUGUGAUGUGCAAAAGUGAGGCUGGGGGAUGAGGUCUUCCUCACUCUGCCGAAGAGAAGGAUGAAAAGUGACUGAAUAGUGGCCCUGCAGCUACCUAAAGUGAAGACACAAAGACUAUGGAGGCUUCAAGAUGUAACUACAUAAAAUCACAGUUGACCCGGUUAUAGCACUGGCCUUCUUCAAAAUCCUUACAACCUUUAUUCAAAAUCCUUCCAAAUGACAGUUUUGUUUUCCUUCUACAAGACUGUGAAUCUGCUCAAAUUUCAGCUCCAACACUUCCACUGUUUCUACUACAGGCUUCCUAACAGAGCAUCCAAGUAGGACAUCCUUAUUAUAGUCAGAAACAGAAACUGUGAUGCGUUCACUCCCCUUGUAAAAGGAGAAGUUAUAGCCUUCAUAAAGAUAAACAAGCACUUCAGAUCAUUUCUGGGAUGAUGAUGCAUUCUGAAGAAGUGCACUGAAUUGUUUUUUGUUCCUCCUACAGCAUUCUUGCCUGUGAAACAGUCUCAAAGAAUCCUUCGCUAAACCCCAUCCUCCACCUGAAAAUUCGUGUUUGUGGAAUGACUGCUGCCUGAAAACAGUAAAACCUGCCUGGCCACAAGGAGUUCAUGACAGAGCAUGCAGGCUGUGGUUUUGGAGGUUAAAAGAUGAAAACUGACCAGAGAAAGGGGCUAUUCAUCAGGAAAUGGAGGCAUGACAUCAGCAACUGAAAAGUAAAAACCUGAAAUUGUUCUUAUAAAAAUAGAAGCAUAGCACACGUUGUCUCAAGUACUCAGAGUUUUGCUACUAGGAGCACUUCAGCAACUUGUCUCGCAAAGCUAAGAAAUGAACGUUGUUGAAACUGUGCCAUUCUGUGUACGUGACUUCAAAAACUACAUAAGUACGAGCAACAAAAGUGACAAUUUUGAGAAGAACCGAUAUUUAUGAGAAGAAGCCACAGUCCUCCAGGAGGAAAUGACUGCCAUGAGAAUGACUUCAGAGGAAUACACACUUGGGGCUGAAGUGGCAGCAGAGAUUUCUAUACAGCAAAGAGAAUGCAGAUCCAUAUAUACACAAAUAUUUUUAGUGGCAGAAAUCUUUUGACUGGCAUUAAAAUAUGCUUACUUGGCUUUCCAUUUUAUAUCACCAGUAUACAGAUCAGCUAAUACUAAGCCAGCAUUUUUGAACACAGAAUAGAGCUCACAUUUAACUGUAAGGCAUCACCGCACUCUGCUACAAAUGCCUAUUUGUUGAGCAUGAUUUAUGGAAUGUAGUGCAAGCCAUAGGAAGAACAAAUUAAACACUGCAAAUAUUCAUUCUCACUUCAAUUCUAAGGAUUUGCAGCUGUUAUGUGACACAGUACCAAAAAGAAUGCUAUAAGCAGAAUGGGGGAAGCUAUCGCAUUGACUGUAUGAGCUAGAACAUAGAUCUUGAACAGCAGAAGGCAUAGUUAGCUGCUAGCCAAGGUGAAACCGAUUUCAUUCUUUGCUCUUUGGAGCAACAAGAGCUGCUGCAGAGGCUGUAGUUUGCCUGGAUUCUUAUUAAGGGCAAGAGGGCCAGGCCCCAAUAUGCGAAGGAGUGGGCACAAGUAACCUCUGAUCAGUUACAGACGGGCAGUGAC